CCUAGGGGAGGCUGCAGUGGGGAAUAUUGGACAAUGGGCGAAAGCCUGAUCCAGCCAUGCCGCGUGUGUGAAGAAGGCCUUCGGGUUGUAAAGCACUUUCAGUGGGGAAGAAAGCCUUGGGGCUAAUACCCUCGAGGAAGGACAUCACCCACAGAAGAAGCACCGGCUAACUCCGUGCCAGCAGCCGCGGUAAUACGGAGGGUGCGAGCGUUAAUCGGAAUUACUGGGCGUAAAGCGCGCGUAGGCGGUCUGAUAAGCCGGUUGUGAAAGCCCCGGGCUCAACCUGGGAACGGCAUCCGGAACUGUCAGGCUAGAGUGCAGGAGAGGAAGGUAGAAUUCCCGGUGUAGCGGUGAAAUGCGUAGAGAUCGGGAGGAAUACCAGUGGCGAAGGCGGUCUUCUGGACUGACACUGACGCUGAGGUGCGAAAGCGUGGGUAGCAAACAGGAUUAGAUACCCGGGUAGUC
rnacentral:rRNA from 1 species